CCCUGAAGUCUGUAUAUUAGAAGCUUAAUUCCCACUAUAGCCACUGGGUGUGGGAAAUUCUGUUAUGGUAAUUGAAAGAUGGGGCCUUGCAAAGGUGAUUAGAUUGUAGGACCAUGCCUAGUGAACGGAUUAAUGAUAGUGGUCAGGGGUGUGAGUAUGAGGGCUUUAAAAGGAGAGCUCAUGAGAAUUUCUCUCUCUUCUGGGCAAUCUUCUGCCAUGUGUGGCCCCUGAAUUGCUGUAAGCCACCACCAAAGAUGACCCUCACUGCAUGUGUUCCCUGGACUUUGGACUUCCCAGCCUCCAAAACUAAUCUCUGUGAAGAUUCUCUGAGUACGGCUGACCACCCUGAGUUCUCCCUGGGCAGAGACACAGCUCUCUGGGAUACUUUGAGCACUUAUGUUCUGCCCUGCGGUGCAGCUAUUUCUGAAGUCUUAUUUUCCUGUCCACAUUACACACUCCUUAAAAGAAGCAGUCUGAGGCCCAUGCCAGAUGCAACUGUCCCAGAAUCGUAAGCCAAAUAAACC